AUUGAACGCUGGCGGCAUGCCUUACACAUGCAAGUCGAACGGUAACGGGCCUUCGGGUGCCGACGAGUGGCGCACGGGUGCGUAAUACAUCGGAACGUGCCCGAUCGUGGGGGAUAACGAGGCGAAAGCUUUGCUAAUACCGCAUACGAUCUACGGAUGAAAGCAGGGGACCGCAAGGCCUUGCGCGGACGGAGCGGCCCAUGGCAGAUUAGGUAGUUGGUGGGAUAAAAGCUUACCAAGCCGACGAUCUGUAGCUGGUCUGAGAGGAUGAUCAGCCACACUGGGACUGAGACACGGCCCAGACUCCUACGGGAGGCAGCAGUGGGGAAUUUUGGACAAUGGGCGCAAGCCUGAUCCAGCCAUGCCGCGUGCAGGAUGAAGGCCUUCGGGUUGUAAAAUGCUUUUGUACGGAACGAAAAGCCUUCUUUUAAUACAGGAGGGUCAUGACGGUACCGUAAGAAUAAGCACCGGCUAACUACGUG
rnacentral:rRNA from 1 species